rnacentral:rRNA from 1 species
CACGUAGGGCGCAAGCGUUGUCCGGAAUUAUUGGGCGUAAAGCGCGUGUAGGCGGCCAGAAAAGUCCGCUGUGAAAACUCGAGGCUCAACCUCGAGCUGUCGGUGGAAACUUUCUGGCUAGAGUCCGGAAGAGGAGAAUGGAAUUCCUGGUGUAGCGGUGAAAUGCGCAGAUAUCAGGAAGAACACCCGUGGCGAAGGCGGUUCUCUGGGACGGUAUUGACGCUGAGACGCGAAAGCGUGGGGAGCAAACAGG